rnacentral:sRNA from 1 species
AUUUAUAUGAACGAGCCUCCGGACCCGG